rnacentral:rRNA from 1 species
UAUGUCUAAGUACAAGCCGAAUUAAGGCGAAACCGCGAAUGGCUCAUUAAAUCAGCUAUGAUUCAUUGGAUCUGUACCCACACUUACUUGGAUAACUGUGGUAAUUCUAGAGCUAAUACAUGCAUUACGUCUCUGACCGCAAGGGAAGAGCGCUUUUAUUAGUUCAAAACCGGUCGGGCCUCGGUCCGUCACCCCACUGUGUUGAAUCUGAAUAACUUUUUGCUGAGCGCACGGUCUCCGCACCGGCGCCGCCUCUUUCAAGUGUCUGCCUUAUCAGCUUUCGAUUGUAGGUUAUACGCCUACAAUGGCUAUNACGGGUAACGGGGAAUCAGGGUUCGAUUCCGGAGAGGGAGCCUGAGAAACGGCUACCACAUCUNAGGAAGGCAGCAGGCACGCAAAUUACCCACUCCCGGCACGGGGAGGUAGUGACGAAAAAUAACGAUGCGAGACUCAUCCGAGGCCUCGCAAUCGGAAUGAGUACACUUUAAAUCCUUUAACGAGGACCCAUUGGAGGGCAAGUCUGGUGCCAGCAGCCGCGGUAAUUCCAGCUCCAAUAGCGUAUAUUAAAGUUGUUGCGGUUAAAAAGCUCGUAGUUGGAUUACAGUUCCGGACUGACGGUUCACCGCCCGGUGCCCACUGUCACGCUCCGAACAGCCAGAACAGCCCGCUGGCUCGCACGGGGUGCUCUUCACCGGGUGUCCCGCGUGGCCGGCAGAGUUUACUUUGAAAAAAUUAGAGUGCUCAAAGCAGGCUACAUUGACGGCCUGAAUGCCUAUGCAUGGAAUAAUGGAAUAGGACCUCGGUUCUAUUUUGUCGGUUUUCUGAACCCGAGGUAAUGACUAAUAGGAACAGGCGGGGGCAUUCGUAUUGCGACGCUAGAGGUGAAAUUCUUGGACCGUCGCAAGACGAACUACUGCGAAAGCAUUUGCCAAGGAUGUUUUCAUUAAUCAAGAACGAAAGUUAGAGGUUCGAAGGCGAUCAGAUACCGCCCUAGUUCUAACCAUAAACGAUGCUGACCAGCGAUCCGCCGGUGUUAUUCCCAUGACCCGGCGGGCAGCUUCCGGGAAACCAAAGUCUUUGGGUUCCGGGGGAAGUAUGGUUGCAAAGCUGAAACUUAAAGGAAUUGACGGAAGGGCACCACCAGGAGUGGAGCCUGCGGCUUAAUUUGACUCAACACGGGGAACCUCACCAGGCCCAGACACCGGAAGGAUUGACAGAUUGAGAGCUCUUUCUCGAUUCGGUGGGUGGUGGUGCAUGGCCGUUCUUAGUUGGUGGAGCGAUUUGUCUGGUUAAUUCCGAUAACGAACGAGACUCUGGCCUACUAACUAGUCG